rnacentral:lncRNA from 1 species
CCAGGUAACAGACUGGGACUGUCAUGGUGUCAGGUAACAGACUGGGACUGUCAUGGUGCCAGGUAACAGACUGGGACUGUCAUGGUGCCAGGUAACAGGCUGGGACUGUCAUGGUGCCAGGUAACAGACUGGGACUGUCAUGGUGCCAGGUAACAGGCUGGGACAGUCAUGGUGCCAGGUAACAGGCUGGGACUGUCAUGGUGCCAGGUAACAGGCUGGGACUGUCAUGGUGCCAGGUAACAGACUGGGACUGUCAUGGUGCCAGGUAACAGACUGGGACUGUCAUGGUGCCAGGUAACAUCAGACUGGGACUGUCAUGGUGCCAGGUAACAGACUGGGACUGUCAUGGUGCCAGGUAACAGACUGGGACUGUCAUGGUGCCAGGUAACAGGCUGGGACUGUCAUGGUGCCAGGUAACAUCAGGCUGUUUGAAACAGACUUUCAGACCAUUAAGGAGCGAGCAGAGAGAGAGAAGGACACCACCAGUGACAUGCCCUCCCACAAGACAAACUCCACCAACACCACCCUCACCCCUACUCUCCCCACCCAAAAAGGCACAUCCAGCACCACCCUCACCCCUACUCUCCCCACCCAAAAAGGCCC